CGCGACGUAGCUCAGUGGAAGAGUGUUGGGCUCAUAACCCAAACGUCGAGUGAUCGAAACACUCCGUCGCCU